CCCCCCCCCCCCCCCCCCCCCCCCCCCCCCCCCCCCCCCCCCCCCCCCCCCCCCCCCCCCCCCCCUGUGCGUGGGAGAUUAAACUCAAAGUAAACGUUGGCUUCGAGAAAAAUAAACCCGUCGGCCUCGAGUCACGGUUUCCAGGUUAACUCCGGCGGAGCAAGUCACGGCAAGGGAGCGAUACCCGUUUGAGACCUUCAGAGUCGGAUAGAUGGACGAGCCCCUUUUCCAUAGCUCAGUUGCUUUGAAAAGGCUCUUUUGCUCUUUAUGUCUCGGGUGAGAGAAGCGGAGCCGAAGGCAGAGCCCCCCGUGCUGGCAGCGAUGCACCUGGGCCUGCCUGCUCCAUGCCUCUCCCCAGCGCAGGCAGCCCGCGUGUCGGAGCCUCUCUGAAAGGGCCUCGGAAAACACCAUCAUCUCCUCGGCGGGAUCUCGCAACCACCAGCAGAGCAGCGCAUCCCGUGUGCAUCACAAGUACACUGAGGCGGUUUUGUAAUUUUAGACUUUUUGUAGACUUUGUCCACAUCAUACUCUGGUGCCUAACUGCAGGCAGCUCUCUUUUGAGGCGUUUAAGGCAAUGCAGUGUAACCCUGACAGUUAGGAAUUUGUUAGCAAUAACUCAUCCAGUCUGGCUUCAAGCACAAACUCGUUUUCCUAACCUUUACUGGCUAAUAGCAGGAAACUUCUGUGUCCUGCAGCCAGAGGCAUCAGCAUCAGUGGAAGCAGAUGGUGUGAGCGAGCUUAAUAAGCAGUAGGACAAAUUCUUAAACAAUAGGUAUAAAACUGUAUUGUAGAAGUAUGAGGCAGGAGUAUGUGCUUCAGUAUCCUAGAGUUGUGGAACUGCAGCAGUAUGAGGAGAAGGGACUGCAGAAAUUGGGCAGCCCUCAUUCACCUAACAGCUUUUCCUGUUGCCAUUGUAAAAGUAGCUUUGGGCAGGAUCAGUUGAAGCAUCCUAUUGCUUGGAAUAAUUUUACUGUAAUCCAACUCAUUCAUAAAGCCUCAAAACUAUAGAAGUUCUUAGACAGCUCUUUCAUAAACUACAUGGGAUGAAAGGAUCAACUCAGUAUGUUUGAUGCCACCAUCUUCAGAAUGAUUGUCUUAAGUGACCUGGGUACUUGGGUACCCACCCAGGUGAGAUGAUGGUGCUGAUGGUUGAUCAUCCCUGUUACUCCCAUCCAUUUCCAGUUCUCAGACUUCUUUUUGUAUUGACAGAUCAUCUUGCCCUGUACAAGUCUACCUGAAUGCAAGCAGAAGAUAAAAGAUUAUUAGCACAUAUGCAAUGGCACCAGUCCAAAGGUUUAUUAUAUGGAUGGUUAUUAAGAAUAAAUACUUAUAUGAGUUAUAUUUAUAUUCCUAAUGCAUGCUUACUAAGAUUUCAUUUAGAUUUACUGAAGGAACAUUGACUCGGAAGCAGUGGAUGUUUACACAAUUCAUGAUACCUAUGAGUUCAGCUUUUAUUAGAUUUUAACAGAUGAAGAAAGAAUACAGUCCUGAAGAUUCACAGUAUUUACAAAUCAAUGGCCAUCUAAUCUAAAGCAUAAGCACAGAGACUUCACACAUUAAUCUUAAAAUCAGAGAAAAUGUGCUUUUACAGAUAUGAAUAUAAAAGGAGCUGCACUGCAUUUAUACAAAGCUUGAUGGGUAGUGGUACAAAAUCCACACCUUUCGUGAAGUAGCAGAGAGAAGAGUGAGACAGAAAACUACAAAUUAAUGUGGAAAAGCAGGUGUCCUACUCUAGGUACAUCUUUUUCAAAUUAAAUAAUCAUAACCUACUCUAUUUGGUAUCAUAUCCUUAAAUAUAGAAUACAUUAAUUUGGUCCUUGUAAUAUUAAGGAACUACUUGACAAUGUCCAGUCACUGGCUGGUUUGCCAGUUACUUUCACAACUUAAGUCAAGAAAAGGCCAGUAGUCAAAAUACAAGGUAUUAAAGCCAAGGUCUUUUACUGAGAGGAUUCCUAAUCCAUAUAUUGUGUCUGUGCAAUGUACUAUAUGGUAGAUACUUGUUAUAGGUCAGGUCCUGUGUUAAAGGCUUGUAAAAACCUUCUGAAGUUGCUUCAUGAAGUUCAAUUGUGUGAAGAUAUUCUUGUGUGUUUCCUUUGAGAAACUUAUGGUAGAAGAUGAAUGAAGUUAUACAAAGUACAUUGGUUUUGAGACACAAGUAAAUAAGUAGAAAUCCACCAGUCUUUAUUUUCUGCCUGUGGUGUAACUAGCUGAGAGAGGGGUAAAGGGCGGAGUGAGGAGGGAUGAUUGAAGGUGAGGAAGAGUUGCCAUCUGAGGAAGAGUCACGCAGUCUGGGACUCUUCAGAUUCAGACUGGGAUGGUGAUUGAGGCUUGCUGGUGUGGCUCAUUACAUGACGUGUAGCUCCAAUGUACAACAGGCCUGAAUACAGAGAAGGAAACUCCUCUGAGGUCAGCUUUAAUGUCUAUGUCUCAGGCAGUUCCAAGACAAGAAGUUCUAAACUGAUGGAGGUUGACAAAGUAUUCUCUGCUCCAAAAUUCAUUCCUCUCACUUUCCUCUUUGCCACUAGUCUGCAUGUGGACAUGCGUCUGCAAAGGGCAGAUACAGGGCUACCCAGACCUUUGUUCUGAAUUCACACAGCUGUUCUUAUAUUCCUUCAGAGCAUGCUAAAGCCAAUGCAUAAAGAAACUGUAGAAGCACAGAUUUCUGCAUUGGAAUUCACUUCCUUUUCUAUGGGUCAAAUGCAUAAAGAAACUGUAGAAGCACAGAUUUCUGCAUUGGAAUUCACUUCCUUCUCUAUGGGUCAGAGAGGUAGCUCCUCUUGGUCUUCUUACAGGGUUGAGAUAAUGUGUAUGCCAUUAAGAGAGGUAGCUCCUCUUGGUCUUCUUACAGGCUUGAGAUAACGUGUAUGCCAUUUAAUAUUUUUCCACCCCUUGCCCUUGGGGAAGAGGACUGUACAAUGGGCAGUAGGUUUCUCUGAGAUUUUAAGUAUCCUUACUAUUCUGUGUCCUGGAAAUUUUUCUGCCUGAGUGCAAACAUUGUUGUUUUAGCUUUCAAGGCACAUACUUCAGGAUGAUUCUUGUAAUUGUUUUAUUUUUGCUCAUUUGCCCUUACUUUAACAUCCACCUUUGACUUUGGAAAUAGUGCUCAUUGUACUAUUAUCACUACAAGGAGG
rnacentral:lncRNA from 12 species